AUUGGAGCUGCGUGUCGCUACACAAUUGUUAUUCAGCAGUGUGAAAAGCAGGGGAUUGAGCACACAGUCCUGGGGGCCUAAUGCUCAGUGUGGUGGAGCUGGAGGUGCGGUUCCCAGUGCGCACUGACUGAGGACAGAAAGUUCUGGUCAGAAAGUCCAGGGUUCAGUGGCAGAGGGAGGUGUUCAGGCCCAACAGGCUCAGCUUACUGAUCAGGCGUUGGGGGAUGAUGGUGUUGAAUGCUGAAUUGAAAUCAAUACAGAGGAUUCAAACGUAUUCAGACGGCGAUAGAAACAGGGACGCCGACGUCAGUGAAGAGUCCAAGGCUGCAGACAGAUUUAUUUCUGUGAUGACUGCACAACAUGCAGGUUUACACACACCGUGGACGUUCUGUCCAUAUGGAAGUGAUGGAGACAAUCUGAUCAAAGGGCUCGUCACAGAUUGAUGAUGAAUGAUUCGCAUUGUUGAGGCUGGAACCGCUCCGUUGGUGCUCAGGACCGGCACAGAAGUCACCGGUUUGCAUCUCCUGCAGAUGGGUUUGAACCUUGGCAUCAGCAGCAAAAAACUCUGCAACUGCACCAAAUGGCGGCCUGCGUCACAUUGCUACUGAUACUGUAAAUAACCCACGGAAAAUGAUUGUGGUGUUACAGUAAGAAGCACUGUUAAUAAAGUUCUA